rnacentral:rRNA from 1 species
CUACGGGAGGCAGCAGUGAGGAAUUUUGCGCAAUGGGCGAAAGCCUGACGCAGCAACGCCGCGUGAGUGAUGAAGGCUUUCGGGUCGUAAAGCUCUGUCAAGUGGGAAGAACCUAUAUAAUGUUAAUAUCAUUAUAUACUGACGGUACCACUGAAGGAAGCACCGGCUAACUCCGUGCCAGCAGCCGCGGUAAUACGGGGGGUGCAAGCGUUAUUCGGAAUCAUUGGGCGUAAAGAGCACGUAGGCGGCCUGGUAAGUCAGAUGUGAAAGCCCGGGGCUUAACCCCGGAAGUGCAUUUGAUACUGUCAGGCUUGAGUAUGGGAGAGGGAAGUGGAAUUCCUGGUGUAGAGGUGAAAUUCGUAGAUAUCAGGAGGAACACCGGUGGCGAAGGCGACUUCCUGGACCAAUACUGACGCUGAGGUGCGAAGGCGUGGGUAGCAAACAGGAUUAGAUACCCUGGUAGUCCACGCAGUAAACGUUGAUCACUAGGUGUAGCGGGUAUUGACCCCUGCUGUGCCGCAGUUAACGCAUUAAGUGAUCCGCCUGGG